rnacentral:rRNA from 1 species
AUUGAACGCUGGCGGCAGGCCUAACACCUGCAAGUCGAACGGAGUGGCGGACGGGUGAGUAAUGUCUGGGAAACUGCCUGAUGGAGGGGGAUAACUACGCGAAAGCGUAGCUAAUACCGCAUACUAUUGGAGCGGCCGAUAUUGGAUUAGCUAGGGGGGGGGGUAACGGCUCACCAAGGCGACGAUCCUUAGCUGGUUUGAGAGGACGACCAGCCACACUGGGACUGAGACACGGCCCAGACUCCUACGGGAGGCAGCAGUGGGGAAUAUUGGACAAUGGGGGAAACCCUGAUCCAGCCAUCCCGCGGGUGCGAUGAAGGCCUUCGGGUUGUAAAGCACUUUUGGCAGGGAAGCGGUACCUGCAGAAUAAGCACCGGCUAACUACGUGCUAGCAGCCGCGGUAAUAC